rnacentral:rRNA from 1 species
GGGUUGUAAACUUCUUUUAUAUUAGAAUAAAGUGCAGUAUGUAUACUGUUUUGUAUGUAUAAUAUGAAUAAGGAUCGGCUAACUCCGUGCCAGCAGCCGCGGUAAUACGGAGGAUCCGAGCGUUAUCCGGAUUUAUUGGGUUUAAAGGGAGCGUAGGUGGGCUGGUAAGUCAGUUGUGAAAGUUUGCGGCUCAACCGUAAAAUUGCAGCUGAUACUGUCAGUCUUGAGUACAGUAGAGGUGGGCGGAAUUCGUGGUGUAGCGGUGAAAUGCUUAGAUAUCACGAAGAACUCCGAUUGCGAAGGCAGCUCACUGGACUGCAACUGACACUGAUGCUCGAAAGUGUGGGUAUCAAACAGGAUUAGAUACCCUGGUAGUCCACACAGUAAA